rnacentral:rRNA from 1 species
AUACAGAGGGUGCAAGCGUUAUUCGGAAUUACUGGGCGUAAAGCGCGCGUAGGCGGAUGAUUAAGUCAGUUGUGAAAGCCCUGGGCUCAACCUAGGAACUGCAUCUGAUACUGGUCGUCUAGAGUUUAAGAGAGGGAAGUGGAAUUCCAGGUGUAGCAGUGAAAUGCGUAGAUAUCUGGAGGAACAUCAGUGGCGAAGGCGACUUCCUGGCUUAAAACUGACGCUGAGGUGCGAAAGCGUGGGUAGCGAACGGGAUUAGAAACCCUAGUAGUCC